rnacentral:rRNA from 1 species
UACAGAGGUCCCAAGCGUUGUUCGGAUUCACUGGGCGUAAAGGGUGCGUAGGCGGUCGGGUAAGUCUGAUGUGAAAUCUCAGAGCUCAACUCUGAAACUGCAUUGGAUACUAUUCGGCUUGAGGUGUGGAGGGGGGACUGGAAUUCUCGGUGUAGCAGUGAAAUGCGUAGAUAUCGAGAGGAACACCAGUGGCGAAGGCGAGUCCCUGGACGAAUCCUGACACUGAGGCACGAAAGCUAGGGGAGCAAACAGG